AUAUGAACCUUGCCCAAUCUCCUCCCCCAGCUGUAGGUCUUCCCAUUGAAUCUCACAAUCUACCACAGAAUUUGACUCUUUAUCCCCUCUGCUUGGUGAACUUCCUACUCUGCCAGAGCUCUCCCCUGCACUUGGAAAUCGCGUCCCAUCUGGCUGUCCUCGUGCUUUGUCUUCUGUCUCUGCAGUUUCCAAGUUUGGUGUUUCAGGCUCCAACUCAUUCUCAUCCUCUUGGCAACCUAAUCUG
rnacentral:misc_RNA from 1 species